rnacentral:rRNA from 1 species
UACGUACUGUGCGAACGUUAUUCGGAAUCACUGGGCUUAAAGGGUGUGUAGGCGGCCGUUUAAGUAGGGUGUGAAAGGCCUCGGCCUAACCGAGGCACUGCGCUCUAAACUGAUCGGCUUGAGUGAGAUAGGGGUGUGCGGAACUUCCAGUGGAGCGGUGAAAUGUGUUGAUAUUGGAAGGAACGCCGGUGGCGAAAGCGGCACACUGGGUCUUGACUGACGCUGAGACACGAAAGCCAGGGGAGCGAACGGG